rnacentral:rRNA from 2 species
UACCAUGCAGUCGAACGAUGAUCUCCAGCUUGCUGGGGGGAUUAGUGGCGAACGGGUGAGUAACACGUGAGUAACCUGCCCUUGACUCUGGGAUAAGCCUGGGAAACUGGGUCUAAUACCGGAUAUGACCGGCCGCCGCAUGGUGUGUUGGUGGAAAGCUUUUGCGGUUUUGGAUGGACUCGCGGCCUAUCAGCUUGUUGGUGGGGUAAUGGCCUACCAAGGCGACGACGGGUAGCCGGCCUGAGAGGGUGACCGGCCACACUGGGACUGAGACACGGCCCAGACUCCUACGGGAGGCAGCAGUGGGGAAUAUUGCACAAUGGGCGGAAGCCUGAUGCAGCGACGCCGCGUGAGGGAUGACGGCCUUCGGGUUGUAAACCUCUUUCAGUAGGGAAGAAGCUUUCGGGUGACGGUACCUGCAGAAGAAGCGCCGGCUAACUACGUGCCAGCAGCCGCGGUAAUACGUAGGGCGCAAGCGUUAUCCGGAAUUAUUGGGCGUAAAGAGCUCGUAGGCGGUUUGUCGCGUCUGCUGUGAAAGACCGGGGCUCAACUCCGGUUCUGCAGUGGGUACGGGCAGACUAGAGUGAUGUAGGGGAGACUGGAAUUCCUGGUGUAGCGGUGAAAUGCGCAGAUAUCAGGAGGAACACCGAUGGCGAAGGCAGGUCUCUGGGCAUUAACUGACGCUGAGGAGCGAAAGCAUGGGGAGCGAACAGGAUUAGAUACCCUGGUAGUCCAUGCCGUAAACGUUGGGCACUAGGUGUGGGGGACAUUCCACGUUUUCCGCGCCGUAGCUAACGCAUUAAGUGCCCCGCCUGGGGAGUACGGCCGCAAGGCUAAAACUCAAGAAAAU